rnacentral:tRNA from 1 species
GUGGGUAUAGCUCAAUUGGUUAGAGCGCCGGAUUGUGGCUCCGGAGGUUGUCGGUUCGAUCCCGAUUAUUCACCCCA